UAAAAUCUCUGCAUAGAUCAUGUUACUUUUAUUGCAUUAAUUAAGACUCAGAAAGUUAUCCAGUUGAUUGAAUGUUUUCUUUAAUCCACCUACAGGAUUGCCAAGGAUCCAAGAUUUGAACGAUUACCAUGUACACACAAAGGAACCUAUGCAGAUGACUGCUUAGUACAGAGAGUAACUCAGCAUAAGUGUUACAUUGUGGCCACAGUUGACCGGGACCUUAAAAGAAGAAUCCGUAAGAUUCCUGGAGUUCCUAUCAUGUACAUUUCUAACCAUAGUCCUCAGACUUAUUUUCCAGCUUUUCAG
rnacentral:lncRNA from 1 species